AUUGAACGCUGGCGGCAGGCCUAACACAUGCAAGUCGAGCGAGCGGCGGGCGGGUGAGUAAUGUAUGUGGCUCUGCCCGAUAGAGGGGGAUAACUACUGGAACCUGUUGCUAAUACCGCAUACUAUCGGAUGAACCCAUAUGGGAUUAGCUAGUAGGUGGGGUAAAGGCUCACCUAGGCGACGAUCUCUCGCUGGUCUGAGAGGAGGAUCAGCCACACUGGAACUGAUACACGGCCCAGACUCCUACGGGAGGCAGCAGUGGGGAAUAUUGCACAAUGGGCGCAAGCCUUAUCCAGCCAUGCCGCGUGUAUGAAGAAGGCCUUAGGGUUGUAAAGCACUUUAAGCGGGGAGGCGUUACCCGCAGAAGAAGCACCGGCUAACUCCGUGCCAGCAGCCGCGGUAAUUC
rnacentral:rRNA from 1 species